rnacentral:rRNA from 1 species
UACGGAGGGUGCAAGCGUUAAUCGGAAUUACUGGGCGUAAAGCGUGCGUAGGCGGUUUGUUUAGUCAGAUGUGAAAGCCCCGGGCUCAACCUGGGAACUGCAUUUGAUACUGGCAGACUAGAGUAUGGUAGAGGGGGGUAGAAUUCCUGGUGUAGCGGUGAAAUGCGUAGAUAUCAGGAGGAAUACCAGUGGCGAAGGCAAUCCCCUGGGCCUGCACUGACGCUCAUGCACGAAAGCGUGGGGAGCAAACAGG